rnacentral:rRNA from 1 species
GGGCAACAACCCUGACCUCCAGCUAAGGUCCCCAAGUCAUGGCUAAGUGGGAAAGGAUGUGAGACUCCCAAAACAACCAGGAUGUUGGCUUAGAAGCAGCCAUCAUUUAAAGAAAGCGUAACAGCUCACUGGUCUAAUUAAGGGGUUUUGCGCCGAAAAUGUAACGGGGCUAAAGCCAUGCACCGAAGCUGAGGAUUGGACUUAAAGUCCAGUGGUAGCGGAGCGUUCCGUAA